GGUGGAGAAGUUUCAUCAACGGAAUCAGAGGUAGCUGCAAAAGGUCUUUUAUUUGAAAGCUCGAGUCUAUUCAGCAGUGCGUUUGAGUGGGUUGUAGAAGUUGAAACAUUUUGAACAUGCAAGCUAUUGGACAUGGAUGUUGAAGCAUGUUUAAUCUUUCCAAAUUGCAGUUUUGUUUGAUGUCAUUUUUUCAACUUAUGUAUUGGAAUUUUACCUGUGAAAAGCAACAGUUUCUGCACCUAUGUGGUGAGAAAUAGCCCUGUUCCUGCACCCAAUUAUCACACAUGUAAGUGGCAUGUUUACUGAACAAUCCUGAAUACUUAUCUUUGUCCUAAAGAGGACAAUUAUGCAGUGAAAAAUAACUUUUGUUUGCAAAAUCAAGGAAAUAUACGCUCUAACGUUAAAAAAAGGACUGGGGUGAGAAGAAGCUAUACUUGUUUUUCUUCGUAAAUAUUGCUUUAAAACAUAAUUUUGCUAACGUUCUGUUAUGUUAAUGUCAUUAUUGGUUUAACGUUUUUUAAGAAAUUUUUAAAACAAUACCAUGCAAAUUUGCAAGAUGUCAAAAUCGCA